GGCGGAUGUAGCCAAGUGGAUCAAGGCAGUGGAUUGUGA
rnacentral:tRNA from 54 species